UAACAAUGGAGAUUUAAAUCUCCCAAUUCAUCACAAAUCUGAAUUUUCCAACUUCAACUAGAAAAUAAAGUGUUUAGCCACUCAUGGUGGACAAAAUCACAAAAGAAAAGAAGAAGAAAAGAAGAAGACAAGCUGCUGUAUUUUUCUGCAGAAUUGCUGAAGAUGAGAUGCCCUUUGCUGGUUUGGAGGCUGCUCUUUUAUAGCUGAAGAAUUCCAUCCAUCUAGGGUUUUGAAAUCCCUUCUUGAUU
rnacentral:lncRNA from 1 species